rnacentral:rRNA from 1 species
UGGGGAAUAUUGGACAAUGGGCGAAAGCCUGCUCCAGCCAUGCUGCGUGUGUGAAGAAGGUCUUCGGAUUGUAAAGCACUUUAAGUUGGGAGGAAGGGCAGUAAGCGAAUACCUUGCUGUUUUGACGUUACCGACAGAAUAAGCACCGGCUAACUCCGUUCCAGCAGCCGCGGUAAUACAGAGGGUGCAAGCGUUAAUCGGAAUUACUGGGCGUAAAGCGCGCGUAGGUGGUUCGUUAAGUUGAAUGUGAAAGCCCCGGGCUCAACCUGGGAACUGCAUCCAAAAAUGGCGAGCUAGAGUAGGGCAGAGGGUGGUGGAAUUUCCUGUGUAGCGGUGAAAUGCGUAGAGAGCUGGAGGAAUACCGAUAGCGAAGGCAGCAAUCUGGCCUAACUCUGACGCUGAGGUACGAAAGAAUGGGGAGCAAACAGG